rnacentral:rRNA from 1 species
CACGUUCGGAUUGUAGUCUGCAACCCGACUACAUGAAGCUGGGAUCGCUAGUAAUCGCGGAUCAGAAUGCCGCGGUGAAUACGUUCCCGGGUCUUGUACACACCGCCCGUCACACCAUGAGAGUUGGAAAUACCCGAAGCCUGUGAGCUAACUGUAAAGAGGCAGCAGUCGAAGGUAGAGCCAAUGAUUGGGGUGAAGUCGUAACAAGGUACC